UGCCAGACUCCUACGGGAGGCAGCAGUGGGGAAUAUUGCACAAUGGGGGGAACCCUGAUGCAGCGACGCCGCGUGAGCGAAGAAGUACCUCGGUAUGUAAAGCUCUAUCAGCAGGGAAGAAGAUGACGGUACCUGACCAAGAAGCUCCGGCUAAAUACGUGCCAGCAGCCGCGGUAAUACGUAUGGAGCAAGCGUUAUCCGGAUUUACUGGGUGUAAAGGGAGCGCAGGCGGCCUUGCAAGUCUGAUGUGAAAGGCCGGGGCCCAACCCCGGGACUGCAUUGGAAACUGCGAGGCUGGAGUGUCGGAGAGGCAGGCGGAAUUCCUAGUGUAGCGGUGAAAUGCGUAGAUAUUAGGAGGAACACCAGUGGCGAAGGCGGCUUUCUGGACUGUAACUGACACUGAGGUACGAAAGCGUGGGGAGCAAACAGGAUUAGAUACCCCCGUAC
rnacentral:rRNA from 1 species